UAGGUCUUCAUUGGCACCUACUCACCUUCAUCAAACAUGGCGCCAUCCUAGCAUCACAAGAAGGCACCAGCCCUAGAGGCCGUGGACAUCAUUUCCAAACAAAGCCAGACUGAAUGGUGGACAGCAUCCACCUGCUCACCUUAAUUUAUCAGUGAGAAAAUUGGGGUCCUGAGAUAGGACGUGAAUUGUCCAAAGUUCCGUAACUCAGGUCUCUGAACUCCCACUCUUGGGCUUACCGUUAGAAGAAAGGGACAAAAAAGACAGGGCACCUGAAGUUUUGGAUGUUUGAAAAAUGUGCUAAAGAAGGCUUAAUCCCUGGAAGCCGUGAGAAGAUCUGUUUUCCAGGUGUUGCCCCAGGGGAUAAUGACACUCCUCACUGGCCCACUCUGGCUGGGCCAGCACCCAUCCUUUCUCCAUGACCUUGCAUGCGUCCUUCCAACAGAACAGGGUCUAUUGAGAGGUAGACCUCUUGAGUCCGGGGUCUGCGUCUACUGUGUCAUUAUUCAGGGCUGAUGCAUGCCAGGUGAACAAUAAAUACAGAUGCUUCUCUCAUUAACGCUUCUCUAUCAUUUAAUAUCUUCCUUACAUCUAUUCUGAAUCUCAAAUUCCCUUGUCUAGUUGCCUUGGCAAGUCAUCAGAUAAAAUAUGUAAAUGCUUGUUAUUAACACCUCAUCAGAUAUAUGAUUUGCAAAUAUUUUCUCCCAGUCCACAGGCUACCUUUUCAUUAUGCUGUGCAAAACCUUUUAAUCUGAUGUUGUCUCAUUUUUUUAUUUUUGCUUUGGUUGCCUGAGCUUUUGGUGUAAUAUCCAAAAAAUU
rnacentral:lncRNA from 10 species